rnacentral:rRNA from 1 species
CAGUAGCCGCGGGAAUACAGAGGGUGCAAGCGUUAAUCGGAAUUACUGGGCGUAAAGCGCGCGUAGGUGGUUUGUUAAGUUGGAUGUGAAAUCCCCGGGCUCAACCUGGGAACUGCAUCCAAAACUGGCAGGCUAGAGUAGGGCAGAGGGUGGUGGAAUUUCCUGUGUAGCGGUGAAAUGCGUAGGUAUAGGAAGGAACACCAGUGGCGAAGGCGACCACCUGGGCUCAUACUGACACUGAGGUGCGAAAGCGUGGGGAGCAAACAGGAUUAGAUACCCCGGUAGUCCCUGUCUCUUAUAC